GGGUGAUCUGCCUUGCACUUCGGGAUAAGCUUGGGAAACUGGGUCUAAUACCGGAUAGGACAGCUGUUUAGUGUCAGUUGUGGAAAGUUUUUCGGUGCAAGAUGAGCUCGCGGCCUAUCAGCUUGUUGGUGGGGUAAUGGCCUACCAAGGCGUCGACGGGUAGCCGGCCUGAGAGGGUGGACGGCCACAUUGGGACUGAGAUACGGCCCAG
rnacentral:rRNA from 1 species